ACGAUGGCAGGGAGGGAGGGGGGAGAGGGGGGCGGUGUCACCGGCAAAGCUUCACAACUAUUGGCUAAGGCCUACCUCCCCGGAAACGAGCCUGCAUCAGCUGGCCGCUUUCCCAGAAUGCACCGCGGCCGCAGCUUGCUUAUGGACAGCGCUAACAGAGAUCACAGUGGAAGAAACACCAACAAAACAUGUGAGGAUAAGGAGAGUGCUGGUGACCCUCUUCUGGCUGGCGGCGGUGCCUCCUAUAGGGAAACAGCCGACAUCUUUGUGAUGCCCUUGUGUGCCAGGUGGUGCACAGAGUCAUGAACUCCCUGAUGGGGAUCAUUAAAAAAAAA